UACGAAGGGGGCUAGCGUUGUUCGGAAUCACUGGGCGUAAAGGGCGCGUAGGCGGCCGAUUAAGUCGGGGGUGAAAGCCUGUGGCUCAACCACAGAGUUGCCUUCGAUACUGAUUGGCUUGAGACCGGAAGAGGUCAGUGGAACUGCGAGUGUAGAGGUGAAAUUCGUAGAUAUUCGCAAGAACACCAGUGGCGAAGGCGGCUGACUGGUCCGGUUCUGACGCUGAGGCGCGAAAGCGUGGGGAGCAAACAGG
rnacentral:rRNA from 1 species